GACGAGCGCUGGCGGCGUGCUUAACACAUGCAAGUCGAACGGAAAGGCCCUGCUUUUGUGGGGUGCUCGGGUGGCGAACGGGUGAGUAACACGUGAGUAACCUGCCCUUGACUUUGGGAUAACUUCAGGAAACUGGGGCUAAUACCGGAUAGGAGCUCCUGCUGCAUGGUGGGGGUUGGAAAGUUUCGGCGGUUGGGGAUGGACUCGCGGCUUAUCAGCUUGUUGGUGGGGUAGUGGCUUACCAAGGCUUUGACGGGUAGCCGGCCUGAGAGGGUGACCGGCCACAUUGGGACUGAGAUACGGCCCAGACUCCUACGGGAGGCAGCAGUGGGGAAUAUUGCACAAUGGGCGGAAGCCUGAUGCAGCAACGCCGCGUGCGGGAUGACGGCCUUCGGGUUGUAAACCGCUUUCGCCUGUGACGAAGCGUGAGUGACGGUAAUGGGUAAAGAAGCACCGGCUAACUACGUG
rnacentral:rRNA from 1 species